rnacentral:misc_RNA from 1 species
CUGUAGGCACCUGCACCUGAUUC